CCAGAAUUAAUCUGCACCAAGGGAGGAAAGCUGAAGCAGGAAAAACAGGCGUUUGCCUUUGGCCGAAUACACGGGACCCGUGGGAGGAAGCAAGCUAAGAACAUCAAAGGAUAACAACAGCUUAGAUUCUGCCCAAUGCAGACUUUGAAGGCCGAGCUCCUGCAGCUUGCAACCCAAGGAAGCCACCAGGAGGCAAUUCACCAAAGACCUUGAUGAAUAUGAUGUAAAAUUCUAGAGUUCUUGGGUGUUAGUUUAACGAGUAAAAGAACAUUGUACGUUCAAGUUGAAAUGGAACAUAAAAAAACUAAUCGA